UUACUUUUAUAUCUUUGCUUAGCACAUAGCAUUAGAUAUAUUCUAGGUGUCUGAAAAAGCUUUGCUAAGUUCAAUCACUACUGGAGCCUAAACUGGACAUUUAAAGGAACUGCCUAGCAAAAUUAAGUAAUUUGGUGAAAAUAUAGCCAGUUAAGGAAAAAUGUGUUUCUCCAAAGUAUCACCCUAUUUGAAGAUGAUAUUUACAGCAAAACAAAGGCUAAUGAUGAUAGGUAUAUGCUGGAGAGCAGGAGCAGAAGAUGGCAACCAGAACACUAGAAACUGAUGCACACCUUGCUGGGAGGCUAGAAAGUGCAGUCUUCAUUCUGGGUGACCUAAAAUUUGGCAAUUUUUUUAUUGAAGGAAGAAGAAAAUGGCCAGUCAGCAUGAAAUGAAUGUG